rnacentral:rRNA from 1 species
GGGGGUAACCCUGGUGGCGAGUGGCGAACGGGUGAGUAAUACAUCGGAACGUGUCCUGUAGUGGGGGAUACCCCGGCGAAAGCCGGAUUAAUACCGCAUACGCUCUACGGAGGAAAGGGGGGGAUCUUAGGACCUCCCGCUAGAGGGGCGGCCGAUGGCAGAUUAGCUAGUUGGUGGGGUAAAGGCCUACCAAGGCGACGAUCUGUAGCUGGUCUGAGAGGACGACCAGCCACACUGGGACUGAGACACGGCCCAGACUCCUACGGGAGGCAGCAGUGGGGAAUUUUGGACAAUGGGCGAAAGCCUGAUCCAGCAAUGCCGCGUGUGUGAAGAAGGCCUUCGGGUUGUAAAGCACUUUUGUCCGGAAAGAAAACUUCUGCCCUAAUACGGCGGGAGGAUGACGGUACCGGAAGAAUAAGCACCGGCUAACUACGUGCCAGCAGCCGCGGUAAUACGUAGGGUGCAAGCGUUAAUCGGAAUUACUGGGCGUAAAGCGUGCGCAGGCGGUCCGCUAAGACAGAUGUGAAAUCCCCGGGCUUAACCUGGGAACUGCAUUUGUGACUGGCGGGCUAGAGUAUGGCAGAGGGGGGUAGAAUUCCACGUGUAGCAGUGAAAUGCGUAGAGAUGUGGAGGAAUACCGAUGGCGAAGGCAGCCCCCUGGGCCAAUACUGACGCUCAUGCACGAAAGCGUGGGGAGCAA